rnacentral:rRNA from 1 species
AAUAGCCUAACGGCUGAACCAGCAACUUGGAGGAAUGUAUAGCGAAAGCUAAUUGUAUAUUUAGUAUGUAUAAUAUUGACUAUGUCAACUAAAGUUCAAGGUAAAAAAAUGAUGAUGACAUUUUUAUCUGUGUGUCUUGACUAAAUCACGUGCCAGCAGUCGCGGUAAUACGUGGAAGACUAGUGUUAUUCAUCUUUAAUAGGUUUAAAGGGUACCUAGACGGUAUAUCUAGCCCCAAAAGGGAACUGGUAAACUAGAGUUUUAUGUGAGAGGGGGAGUACCUUUGUAGAAGAGAUGAAAUUCUGUCAUAACGGAGGAAGACUGGUAAAGGCGAAAGCAACCUUUUAUGCAAAAACUGACGUUGAAGGACGAAGGCUUCGGUCACCAACAGGAUUAGAUACCCCAGCAGUCUUAGCAGACAACGCUGAAUGCCAUAGAUUAGAUCUAUAUUUAUUCUAUAAAUGAAAGUGUAAGCAUUCCACCUCAAGAGUAAUUUGGCAACAUUGGAACUGAAAUCAUUAGACCGUUUCUGAAACCAGUAGUGAAGUAUGUUGUUUAAUUUGAUGAUCCGCGGAAAACCUUACCACAAUUUGAAUAUUUUUAUAUAUAUAAUUAUACAAGCGUUGCACGGCUGUUUUUAGUUAAUGUCGUGAGAUUUUGGUUAGUUCCAUUAAAUUAACGUAAACCCUUACUUUAUUUAAAUUUAAUAUAAAGUAGUUCACCGCUAUAUUGGAUAUGAUAAAAGGGAUUAAGACAAGUCAUCAUGACCUUAAUAUUGUGGGCUAUAGACGUGCCACAUGUAUCUAUACAAAUAGAUGCAAAAUUGUGAAAUUUAGCUAAUCUUCUAAAAUAGAAUAUAACAUAACAU